rnacentral:rRNA from 1 species
CCUACGGGUGGCAGCAGUCGAGAAUCAUUCACAAUGGGGGAAACCCUGAUGGUGCGACGCCGCGUGGGGGAAUGAAGGUCUUCGGAUUGUAAACCCCUGUCAUGUGGGAGCAAAUUAAAAAGAUAGUACCACAAGAGGAAGAGACGGCUAACUCGGUGCCAGCAGCCGCGGUAAUACAGAGGUCUCAAGCGUUGUUCGGAAUCACUGGGCGUAAAGCGUGCGUAGGCUGUUUCGUAAGUCGUGUGUGAAAGGCGCGGGCUCAACCCGCGGACGGCACAUGAUACUGCGGGACUAGAGGAAUGGAGGGGGAACCGGAAUUCUCGGUGUAGCAGUGAAAUGCGUAGAUAUCGAGAGGAACACUCGUGGCGAAGGCGGGUUCCUGGACAUUAACUGACGCUGAGGCACGAAGGCCAGGGGAGCGAAAGGGAUUAGAUACCCCUGUAGUC